GAACACCAGUGGCGAAGGCGACUUUCUGGACUGUAACUGACACUGAGGCACGAAAGCGUGGGGAGCAAACAGGAUUAGAUACCCUGGUAGUCCACGCCGUAAACGAUGGAUACUAGGUGUAGGGGGUAUCGACCCCCUCUGUGCCGGAGUUAACGCAAUAAGUAUCCCGCCUGGGGAGUACGGUCGCAAGACUGAAACUCAAAGGAAUUGACGGGGGCCCGCACAAGCAGCGGAGCAUGUGGUUUAAUUCGGAGCAACGCGAAGAACCUUACCAGGGCUUGACAUCCCGAUGACCGGUACAGAGAUGUACCUUCCCUUCGGGGCAUUGGAGACAGGUGGUGCAUGGUUGUCGUCAGCUCGUGUCGUGAGAUGUUGGGUUAAGUCCCGCAACGAGCGCAGCCCCUAUCCUUAGUUGCCAUCAGUUAAAGCUGGGCACUCUAAAGAGACUGCCGGGGAUAACUCGGAGGAAGGUGGGGAUGACGUCAAAUCAUCAUGCCCCUUAUGUCCUGGGCUACACACGUGCUACAAUGGCCUGUAACAGAGGGAAGCGAAGCCGUAAGGCGGAGCAAAACUCAGAAACCAGGUCCCAGUUCGGAUUGUGGGCUGCAACUCGCCCACAUGAAGUCG
rnacentral:rRNA from 1 species